rnacentral:rRNA from 1 species
UACGAAGGGGGCUAGCGUUGCUCGGAAUCACUGGGCGUAAAGGGUGCGUAGGCGGGUCUUUUAAGUCAGGGGUGAAAUCCUGGAGCUCAACUCCAGAACUGCCUUUGAUACUGAAGAUCUUGAGUUCGGGAGAGGUGAGUGGAACUGCGAGUGUAGAGGUGAAGUUCGUAGAUAUUCGCAAGAACACCAGUGGCGAAGGCGGCUCACUGGCCCGAGUACUGACGCUGAGGCACGAAAGCGUGGGGAGCAAACAGGGAUUAAGAAACCCUA